rnacentral:rRNA from 1 species
UGCGCAGGCGGCCCUCGUCGGUGUGUGGUGAAAUCUCCCGGCUUACCUGGGAGGGUGCCACGCAGACCAGAGGGCUUGAGGUUCGGGGAGGGCGUGGAAUUCCGGGUGGAGCGGUGAAAUGCGUAGAGAUCCGGAGGAACACCGACGGCGUAAGCAGCGCCCUAAACGAGUCCUGACGCUCAGGCACGAAAGCUGGGGGAGCAAACAGGAUUAGAUACCCUGGUAGUCCCAGCCCUAAACGAUGUCCACCAGGUGCCGCGGGUAUCGACCCCUGCGGUGCCGCAGCUCACGUGAUGAGUGGACCGCCUGGGGAGUACGGCCGCAAGGUUGAA